rnacentral:tRNA from 1 species
GUUUUUUAAAGAUUUGCAAACGGCCUUCUAAGCCGUAGGUCAGUGGUUCGAAUCCACUAGGGCAGGCCA